rnacentral:tRNA from 1 species
GUGAGUAUAGCUCAGUUGGUUAGAGCACUGGUCUGUGGCACCAGGGGUCGGGGGUUCAAGUCCCCUUACUCACC